rnacentral:rRNA from 1 species
UACGGAGGGGGCUAGCGUUGUUCGGAAUUACUGGGCGUAAAGCGCACGUAGGCGGCUUUGCAAGUUAGAGGUGAAAGCCCGGGGCUCAACUCCGGAAUUGCCUUUAAAACUGCAUCGCUAGAAUUGUGGAGAGGUAAGUGGAAUUCCGAGUGUAGAGGUGAAAUUCGUAGAUACUCGGAAGAACACCAGUGGCGAAGGCGACUUACUGGACACAUAUUGACGCUGAGGUGCGAAAGCGUGGGGAGCAAACAGG